rnacentral:rRNA from 1 species
UACGAAGGGGGCUAGCGUUGCUCGGAAUCACUGGGCGUAAAGCGCACGUAGGCGGCUUGUUAAGUCAGGGGUGAAAUCCUGGAGCUCAACUCCAGAACUGCCUUUGAUACUGGCGAGCUUGAGUCCGGGAGAGGUGAGUGGAACUGCGAGUGUAGAGGUGAAAUUCGUAGAUAUUCGCAAGAACACCGGUGGCGAAGGCGGCUCACUGGCCCGGUACUGACGCUGAGGUGCGAAAGCGUGGGGAGCAAACAGG